rnacentral:rRNA from 1 species
GACGAACGCCGGCGGCGUGCCUAAUACAUGCAAGUUGAGCGCUGAAGGUUGGUACUUGUACCGACUGGAUGAGUGGCGAACGGGUGAGUAACACGUGGACAACCUGCCUCAAGGCUGGGGAUAACAUUUGGAAACAGAUGCUAAUACCGAAUAAAACUUAGUGUCGCAUGACACAAAGUUAAAAGGCGCUUUGGCGUCACCUAGAGAUGGAUCCGCGGUGCAUUAGUUAGUUGGUGGGGUAAAGGCCUACCAAGACAAUGAUGCAUAGCCGAGUUGAGAGACUGAUCGGCCACAUUGGGACUGAGACACGGCCCAAACUCCUACGGGAGGCUGCAGUAGGGAAUCUUCCACAAUGGGCGAAAGCCUGAUGGAGCAACGCCGCGUGUGUGAUGAAGGCUUUCGGGUCGUAAAGCACUGUUGUAUGGGAAGAACAGCUAGAAUAGGAAAUGAUUUUAGUUUGACGGUACCAUACCAGAAAGGGACGGCUAAAUACGUGCCAGCAGCCGCGGUAAUACGUAUGUCCCGAGCGUUGUCCGGAUUUAUUGGGCGUAAAGCGAGCGCAGGUGGUUUAUUAAGUCUGGUGUAAAAGGCAGUGGCUCAACCAUUGUAUGCAUUGGAAACUGGUAGACUUGAGUGCAGGAGAGGAGAGUGGAAUUCCAUGU